CCAGCAGCCGCGGUAAUUCCAGCUCCAAUAGCGUAUAUUAAAGUUGUUGCAGAUAAAAAGCUCGUAGUUGAAUUUCGGGGUUAGUAGAUUGGUCGUGCCACUGGUAUGUACUGGUCUUACUGAUUCCUCCUUCCUGAUGAACCGUAAUGCCAUUAAUUUGGUGUUGCGGGGAGACUGGACUGUUACUUUGAAAAAAUUAGAGUGUUUAAAGCAGGCUAACGCUUGAAUACAUUAGCAUGGAAUAAUGAAAUAGGACGUUCGAUCCUAUUUUGUUGGUUUCUAGGAUUGACGUAAUGAUUAAUAGGGAUAGUUAGGGGCAUUAGUAUUCAAUUGUCAGAGGUGAAAUUCUUGGAUUUAUUGAAGACUAACUACUGCGAAAGCAUUUGCCAAGGAUGUUUUCAUUAAUCAAGAACGAAAGUUAGGGGAUCGAAGACGAUCAGAUACCGUCGUAGUCUUAACCAUAAACUAUGCCGACUAGGGAUCGGAUGAUGGUAAUUUUUUAAUGACUCAUUCGGCGCCUUAC
rnacentral:rRNA from 1 species